rnacentral:lncRNA from 1 species
UAUUAUGGGUGUGGAAACAAGGACAGUAAAAUGAGUUUUGAAUCAUGGUUGAUGAUACAGAGCGUGCCCCAGAGGGCUAGCCGAGCAACGACUAACAGUAAAUGUAACAGGCUGUACUCUGGAUAGAAAUUAGAAGCGCUGAUUACCUGUUUCAAUUUUGAGCCAAAGUCUACAGAAUCUGGACUUGUAUUUAGAUCGAAGUAUAUCAUGGGAAGCCUUGGAACCGCUUCCAUUUUUGAAGGGAGCUACCACUGGGCACUGAUCCUUAGAAGUGACAGGUUACAAAGAGGAGAUAAAUUUAUCGGCUGACUGACGCUCAAAGGCUGUGUCUAUCAAGCUUCGAUGAUAGUAGAGGUAUCCACAUUAUUUAAUAGAAAAAGCACCAAUAAUUUCAAUAGUUUCGGCAAAAAACACGAAUUAUACUCUGUUAUCUGUCAAGUGUCAAAUCAAAACCAAAUAACCAAAAUGACUCUAUCUCAUAUCUCGAAUCAGCUGAAGUCGAAAGUCGAGCUAUCGAACUUUUUGUUAUGGUUUUAGGUGAGGUUAGGUUUUCUAAUACCCGUCUAAGAUCCCGGCCCUUCAUCAUGCGUGUCUGUCUUUUAGUUCCUUGUUUCCCUUCUUUUAUCGUGUUUUAGUGUAUUUAACUCAUAUUUCUUCGAUCAGUACUGAAGAAAUUCUUUUCUCUAAUUUUGAGAAUGGUCUAUUGAGUUGAUCGCACCAUGGUUAGUUCCAUCGUCUCCAAACUACUCACUGGACUUCGUGUUUUCCACACCUUUACAAUUGCUUGUACAACUCGAGAAUUGUGCCUAAAACUGUUAUGAUCGUGGACUCUGUAGUCUGUACUUGGUGAAACUCUCGAAAUUCAAACUAAUACACCGUGAUCAUGACGCACAACAACGAGCAAAACACUUGUCGAUUAUGCGGUUCGAAUAGUGGAGUUUUCAUAUCAAUCCUUGACCACACAUAUGAAAAGUAUGUUCAGAAAAUUUCAGGUUUACUAAACAUCAUGAUUUAUAGCAACGAUCCACUCCCAAAAGUUCUCUGUCAUCGCUGUGUUAUAAAAAUUGAUGAUUUUCAAGUUUUUGUGGAUAGCGCUCACUUUACUCAGAAAGUUUUGAGAGAGAAAUUCUAUUCUAGUAAUAUGCUGAAUGUGAGUGAUGACAGGAAAAAUCAUUCAUCUCAUCCUGCAAGUAAUGAGAAUGGAUUGAAUAGCAGUGCACUAUCAGAACCACCUACCAUAAAUCCUCCUGAAAUAAUUUCGUUUAAUUUACUAACGUGUUCAAAUUCGAGCGAUGACUCUUUGGAAAGACGUAGGGUUGACAGUGGCUCAAAUUUUGCAACACAGCAAUUAGACCCUGAACCUUUGAGCCUUGAAUACCAGAAAGAACAGACCCCUACUUCAUCUCUCACAAGACCGCCUGGGCCCAGACGGGGAAGUCGACCUUUCCCAAAGAAACCAGGCAAUAUGAAUUCAUCUCAAAAUCAUACUCUUGAAGACAAAAGUCAAAUUAGUAAACCUGAUGAAGAACGAUCCCCCAUAUAA